rnacentral:rRNA from 1 species
GACGAACGCUGGCGGCGUGCUUAACACAUGCAAGUCGAACGGAAAGGCCCUGCUUUUGUGGGGUGCUCGAGUGGCGAACGGGUGAGUAACACGUGAGUAACCUGCCCUUGACUUUGGGAUAACUUCAGGAAACUGGGGCUAAUACCGGAUAGGAGCUCCUGCUGCACGGUGGGGGUUGGAAAGUUUCGGCGGUUGGGGAUGGACUCGCGGCUUAUUAGCUUGUUGGUGGGGUAGUGGCUUACCAAGGCUUUGACGGGUAGCCGGCCUGAGAGGGUGACCGGCCACAUUAGGACGGAGAUACGGCCCAGACUCCUACGGGAGGCAGCAGUGGGGAAUAUUGCACAAUGGGCUGAAGCCUGAUGCAGCAACGCCGCGUGCGGGAUGACGUCCUUCGGGUUGUAAACCGCUUUCGCCUGUGACGAAGCGUGAGUGACGGUAAUGGGUAAAGAAGCACCGGCUAACUACGUG